rnacentral:rRNA from 1 species
AUGAACGCUAGCGGCAGGCUUAAUACAUGCAAGUUGAGGGGCAGCAUGAUAUACGCGAGUAUAUUGAUGGCGACCGGCGGACGGGUGAGUAAUAGGUAGGAGACCUACCUCAUACAGGGGGAUAGCAUAGAGAAAUCUGUGGUAAUACCCCAUGAGGUUAUAUGAAUAGAGGCAUAUAAUCAAAGCAUAAGCGAUUAUGCGGUAUGAGAGGGGCCUACUGACCAUUAGCUAGUUGGUGAGGUAAGGGCUCACCAAGGCGAAGAUGGUUAGGGGUUUUGAGAGAGAGACCCCCCACAUUGGAACUGAGAGACGGUCCAGACUCCUACGGGAGGCAGCAGUAGGGAAUAUUGGGCAAUGGGCGAAAGCCUGACCCAGCCAUGCCGCGUGAAGGAAGACGGCCUUAUGGGUUGUAAACUGCUUUUCCACGGGAAGAACCCUCCGACGUGUCGGAGACUGACGGUACCGUGGGAAUAAGCAUCGGCUAACUCCGUG